rnacentral:tRNA from 1 species
GGGAGUGUAGUUCAGUGGUAGAGUGCUUACCUGGCAUAUGAGGUCCUGGGUUCGAUCCCCAACACUAUCA